rnacentral:rRNA from 1 species
CCUACGGGAGGUAGCAGUGAGGAAUAUUGGUCAAUGGACGAGAGUCUGAACCAGCCAAGUAGCGUGAAGGAUGACUGCCCUAUGGGUUGUAAACUUCUUUUAUAUGAGAAUAAAAUGUUCCACGUGUGGGAUUUUGUAUGUACCCUAUGAAUAAGGAUCGGCUAACUCCGUGCCAGCAGCCGCGGUAAUACGGAGGAUGCGAGCGUUAUCCGGAUUUCUUGGGUUUAAAGGGUGCGCAGGCGGACGAUCAAGUCAGCGGUAAAAUUGAGAGGCUCAACCUCUUCGAUCCGUUGAAACUGGUGGUCUUGAGGGAGGGAGAAGUAUGCGGAAUGCGUGGUGUAGCGGUGAAAUGCAUAGAUAUCACGCAGAACUCCGAUUGCGAAGGCAGCAUACCGGAGCUCAACUGACGCUCAUGCACGAAAGUGUGGGUAUCGAACAGGAUUAGAUACCCUUGUAGUC